rnacentral:rRNA from 1 species
GACGGCCUUCGGGUUGUAAACCUCUUUUAGUAGGGAAGAAGCGAAAGUGACGGUACCUGCAGAAAAAGCACCGGCUAACUACGUGCCAGCAGCCGCGGUAAUACGUAGGGUGCAAGCGUUGUCCGGAAUUAUUGGGCGUAAAGAGCUCGUAGGCGGUUUGUCGCGUCUGCUGUGAAAUCUGGGGGCUCAACCCCCAGCCUGCAGUGGGUACGGGCAGACUAGAGUGCGGUAGGGGAGAUUGGAAUUCCUGGUGUAGCGGUGGAAUGCGCAGAUAUCAGGAGGAACACCGAUGGCGAAGGCAGAUCUCUGGGCCGUAACUGACGCUGAGGAGCGAAAGCGUGGGGAGCGAACAGGAUUAGAUACCCUGGUAGUCCACGCCGUAAACGUUGGGAACUAGAUGUGGGGACCAUUCCACGGUCUCCGUGUCGCAGCUAACGCAUUAAGUUCCCCGCCUGGGGAGUACGGCCGCAAGGCUAAAACUCAAAGGAAUUGACGGGGGCCCGCACAAGCGGCGGAGCAUGCGGAUUAAUUCGAUGCAACGCGAAGAACCUUACCAAGGCUUGACAUAUACCGGAAACGGCCAGAGAUGGUCGCCCCGCAAGGUCGGUAUACAGGUGGUGCAUGGUUGUCGUCAGCUCGUGUCGUGAGAUGUUGGGUUAAGUCCCGCAACGAGCGCAACCCUCGUUCUAUGUUGCCAGCACGUUAUGGUGGGAACUCAUAGGAGACUGCCGGGGUCAACUCGGAGGAAGGUGGGGAUGACGUCAAAUCAUCAUGCCCCUUAUGUCUUGGGCUUCACGCAUGCUACAAUGGCCGGUACAAAGGGCUGCGAUACCGUAAGGUGGAGCGAAUCCCAAAAAGCCGGUCUCAGUUCGGAUUGAGGUCUGCAACUCGACCUCAUGAAGUCGGAGUCGCUAGUAAUCGCAGAUCAGCAACGCUGCGGUGAAUACGUUCCCGGGCCUUGUACACACCGCCCGUCAA